AGGGGUAUAGCUCAGCUGGUAGAGCGCCGGUCUCCAAAACCGGAUGUCGGGGGUUCAAAUCCCUCUGCCCCUGCCA
rnacentral:tRNA from 1 species